UGGGGAAUCUUGCGCAAUGGGCGAAAGCCUGACGCAGCGACGCCGCGUGAGUGAUGAAGGCCUUCGGGUUGUAAAGCUCUGUGGGGAGAGAAGAAUAAGUGCGGGCUAAUACUCCGCAUGAUGACGGUAUCUCCUUAGCAAGCACCGGCUAACUCUGUGCCAGCAGCCGCGGUAAGACAGAGGGUGCAAACGUUGUUCGGAAUUACUGGGCGUAAAGCGAGUGUAGGCGGUUUGGUAAGUCGGAUGUGAAAGCCCCGGGCUUAACUCGGAACGGUCAGAUGAUACUGCUUUGCUAGAGUGCAGAAGGGGCAAUCGGAAUUCUUGGUGUAGCGGUGAAAUGCGUAGAUAUCAAGAGGAACACCUGAGGUGAAGACGGGUUGCUGGGCUGACACUGACGCUGAGGCGCGAAAGCCAGGGGAGCAAACGGGAUUAGAUACCCAAGUAGUCCCUGAGCGGGCUGGCAAGGCGCAU
rnacentral:rRNA from 1 species